rnacentral:rRNA from 1 species
CCUACGGGAGGCAGCAGUGAGGAAUAUUGGUCAAUGGACGCAAGGCUGAACCAGCCAAGUCGCGUGAGGGAUGACGGUCCUAUGGAUUGUAAACCUCUUUUGUCAGGGAGCAAAGGGCGCCACGUGUGGCGCUCUGAGAGUACCUGAAGAAAAAGCAUCGGCUAACUCCGUGCCAGCAGCCGCGGUAAUACGGAGGAUGCGAGCGUUAUCCGGAUUUAUUGGGUUUAAAGGGAGCGUAGAUGGGUUGUUAAGUCAGUUGUGAAAGUUUGCGGCUCAACCGUAAAAUUGCAAUUGAUACUGGGCGUCUUGAGUACAGUUGAGGUAGGCGGAAUGCGUGGUGUAGCGGUGAAAUGCUUAGAGAUCACGAAGAACACCGAUUGCGAAGGCAGCUUACUAAGCUGCCACUGACGUUGAUGCUCGAAAGUGUGGGUAUCAAACAGGAUUAGAUACCCGGGUAGUC